UCGCCUGUUUAUCAAAAACAUGGUUUCUUGAAUGAUUAGGAGAUUUGACCUGCCCACUGAUGAAUUUUGAAGGGCCGCAGUAAUUUGACUGUGCAAAGGUAGCAUAAUCAUUAGUCUUUUAAUUGAAGGCUGGUAUGAAAGGUUAGACGAAGUAAAAGCUGUUUUAUAAUAAACCUUUUUGAUUUUAGAUUUUAAGUAAAAAUACUUAAAUUUUUUUAAGGGACGAGAAGACCCUAUAGAGUUUAAUAUUUAAUAUUUUAAUUGAGUUAUAAGUGAAAUUAUUUGAUUAGUAUGGUAAAUAUUUAAUUGGGGUGAUAGAAGAAUAAGAAGAACUUUUUUUUAAUUGAAAUAUUAUAUGUAGUUUAUAGAUCCAUUUUUAAUGAUUAGAAGAUUAAAUUACCUUAGGGAUAACAGCAUAAUUUUUUUUGAGAGUUCUUAUUGAGAAGAAAGAUUAUGACCUCGAUGUUGGAUUAAGAUAAAUUUUGGGUGUAGAUGUUCAGAAUAUUAGGUCUGUUCGACCUUUAAUCUCUUACAUGAUCUGAGUUC
rnacentral:rRNA from 1 species